rnacentral:rRNA from 1 species
CCUACGGGGGGCAGCAGUGGGGAAUAUUGGACAAUGGGCGCAAGCCUGAUCCAGCCAUGCCGCGUGAGUGAUGAAGGCCUUAGGGUUGUAAAGCUCUUUUACCAGGGAAGCGGUACCUGGAGAAUAAGCCCCGGCUAACUUCGUGCCAGCAGCCGCGGUAAUACGAAGGGGGCUAGCGUUGCUCGGAAUUACUGGGCGUAAAGCGCACGUAGGUGGGUCGUUAAGUCGGGGGUGAAAUCCUGGAGCUCAACUCCAGAACUGCCUUCGAUACUGGCGAUCUUGAGUCCGGGAGAGGUGAGUGGAACUGCGAGUGUAGAGGUGAAAUUCGUAGAUAUUCGCAAGAACACCAGUGGCGAAGGCGGCUCACUGGCCCGGACUGACACUGAGGUGCGAAAGCGUGGGGAGCAAACAGGAUUAGAUACCCUUGUAGUC